AGCCUCAUGUAUCAAUCAAUCUCUCUGAAUUCCUUCUGUCUUCUCUCUGUUAACUAUUCUUCUUCUCCCUUCAAUGGCUGAUGUCUCUUCUUCCCCCACUGAUCUAUUCCGGCAACCCCGACCCUCCCUGGCGCGAAGCACGCCGUCGCCACCACCCACCGCCGGAUUGUGAUCGGAAUCCCGUCAUAGCCUAUCAAUUUUGAUGAACCCAUUCACGGAUCAUCUUCUCCAAGUCACUAACAACAAUUUCAAGACAGAUCUGAGAAAAUCAUUCCAUUGAGAUUAUUAACCCUAGCUAUCCAAAACAAACAAACAAAUUCAAAUUCAAAGGCUUUUGUAUCAAGAAAUUAUUUACAAGAUUUGAAAUUGUAUCGGAAAUGGCUUUCUUUUAUGGGGUUGCUUGCCAUGAACGGUAUAUGAAGGUGGCGGCGGGUUUUGCGCCGGUGAGGGUUGGGGUCGCCGGAGAAGAUUGAUGUUGAGAGGGAAGAAGAAGAGUUGCAGAGAAUGAAUGCGUGAAAGUAAUUGAGUGAGAUUUCAUUAGAUGAUUGACACAAGGUAAUUUUUAAUCUCAGCCUUAAGAAGCUAGUAAGACAUAUGCAAGGUAUAUUUAAUUUAAUUACGAACCUUCUUUAAGCCCAUAACGUCUGAAAGUUCCUUCAACAUCUCCUUCUCAUUGUUUUCCUUUGUAUUGUCUGUGGGAUCUCCAAUCUGAUCUUCACAUACAGAUUCAGAUUCUCCAUCUUUAAGAAUGGCUUCAUCACUUAUUUCCUAUGAAUAAAUGCAAAAAAACAAAGAAAAGAAAGUUAUACACAUACUCAAUAUGACUAUGACUAACUCAAACUCAAAAUCAUAUGUAUUAUAUAAUAGGUACGUUAUUGCAAUUGGAUUUUACCAAAUCAGAAUUAUAAGGCCAAUUUUCUCCUGACUCCUCCAUUAAUUUUGUGGAAAUUAUGCUAUUAUAUAAAGUUAAUUUUGUGCCAAGAAUAUUAUGUAAGAUAAUUGUGUGGAAGAAUGAAAGUACAGUGUGGAUAAGAGGUGGGUUGAGUUGUUAAUAGGAGGGAGAGAAUGAGAGAGUGAUGAAAAG